CAUAGGUUUCCUCGCAGCGUGACUGCAUGUAAUUGGUCAGAGCCGGAAGGCAGCAGCCAGCAUACAGAAAGCGGGUGCCGAGGGUUGGCUUGUGGGG
rfam:Enterovibrio coralii strain CAIM 912 contig00074, whole genome shotgun sequence.